GAUGAAGAACGUAGCGAAAUGCGAUAAGUAAUGUGAAUUGCAGAAUUCAGUGAAUCAUCGAAUCUUUGAACGCACAUUGCGCCCGCUAGUACUCUAGCGGGCAUGCCUGUUCGAGCGUCAUUUCAACCCUCAAGCCCUGCUUGGUGUUGGGGCCCUACGGCUGCCGUAGGCCCUGAAAGGAAGUGGCGGGCUCGCGACAACUCCGAGCGUAGUAAUUCAUUAUCUCGCUUAGGGUGUUGUGCGGUGCUCCAGCCGUUAAAGACCAUCUUUAACUCAAGGUUGACCUCGGAUCAGGUAGGAAUACCCGCUGAACUUAAGCAUAUCAAUAAGCGGAGGA
rnacentral:misc_RNA from 1 species